rnacentral:rRNA from 1 species
UGGAGAGUUUGAUCCUGGCUCAGGACGAACGCUGGCGGCGUGCCUAAUACAUGCAAGUCGAGCGGACGAUUCAAAAGCUUGCUUUUGRAUCGUUAGCGGCGGACGGGUGAGUAACACGUGGGCAACCUGCCCUGUAGACGGGGAUAACACCGAGAAAUCGGUGCUAAUACCGGAUAACACGAAAGACCGCAUGGUYUUUCGUUGAAAGGCGGCGCAAGCUGUCGCUACAGGAUGGGCCCGCGGCGCAUUAGCUAGUUGGUGAGGUAACGGCUCACCAAGGCGACGAUGCGUAGCCGACCUGAGAGGGUGAUCGGCCACACUGGGACUGAGACACGGCCCAGACUCCUACGGGAGGCAGCAGUAGGGAAUCUUCCGCAAUGGACGAAAGUCUGACGGAGCAACGCCGCGUGAGCGAAGAAGGCCUUCGGGUCGUAAAGCUCUGUUGUUAGGGAAGAACAAGUACCGCAGUCACUGGCGGUACCUUGACGGUACCUAACGAGAAAGCCACGGCUAACUACGUGCCAGCAGCCGCGGUA